rnacentral:rRNA from 1 species
AGUGAACGCUGGCGGUAUGCCUAACACAUGCAAGUCGAACGGCAGCACAGUAAGAGCUUGCUCUUACGGGUGGCGAGUGGCGGACGGGUGAGGUAUACAUCGGAAUCUACUUUUUCGUGGGGGAUAACGUAGGGAAACUUACGCUAAUACCGCAUACGACCUACGGGUGAAAGCAGGGGAUCUUCGGACCUUGCGCGAUUGAAUGAGCCGAUGUCGGAUUAGCUAGUUGGCGGGGUAAAGGCCCACCAAGGCGACGAUCCGUAGCUGGUCUGAGAGGAUGAUCAGCCACACUGGAACUGAGACACGGUCCAGACUCCUACGGGAGGCAGCAGUGGGGAAUAUUGGACAAUGGGCGCAAGCCUGAUCCAGCCAUACCGCGUGGGUGAAGAAGGCCUUCGGGUUGUAAAGCCCUUUUGUUGGGAAAGAAAAGCAGCAGGUUAAUACCCCGCUGUUCUGACGGUACCCAAAGAAUAAGCACCGGCUAACUACGUG